UUGGCUAGUCCCUGACUUAUAAGUUGGUGAAAGACCGUGUUAGUAUUAAUACAAGUCAUAGGUCCCCAUCGUAGAAGAGAUAUCAACCUAGAGAUCGAUAGAAUCCCAACUUAGAGGUUGGCUAGGGAUUGACCUGGAGGUUGGUUAGAGUACCGGCAUGGGUUGUAGGUCCCCAUUGUUGGUGAGAUAUCGAUCUGGAGAUCGAUAGAAUUCCAUCCUGAGGUCGGCUGGGGGUUGACUC
rnacentral:lncRNA from 1 species